rnacentral:rRNA from 1 species
AUGACCGGGACAUCCUGGCUAAUUGAUAGCCAAAGAAUUGCUUCGAAAAUAAAAAACGUUUCUGGGUCACGGGAUCUCAGUAAACAAAAAUGGUUGAGCAACCCAACUAAGGAGUGCCCGAAUUGCAGCCACGUCAUUGAUAACAGUGAUGUUGUUCACCAGUGGCCUGGUUUGCCAAAGGGUGUAAAGUUUGAUCCGUCUGACCAGGAACUGCUUGGGCAUUUACUGGCAAAACAUGACAAAGCAGGCUCUCAACCUCACCCAUUCAUCGCUGAAUUUAUUCCAACAGUUGAGGAAGCUGAUGGUAUCUGCUACACUCAUCCACAGAAACUUCCAGGCGUUAAGCAAGAUGGAAGUGUAUCACACUUCUUCCACAGAACAUUUAAAGCAUAUAACACUGGGACGAGGAAGCGUCGAAAGAUCAACACUAGUGAUCUUGCAGAUGUUCGCUGGCACAAGACAGGCAAGACAAAGCCAGUAAUGAUUGAUGGACAGCACCUUGGCUGUAAGAAAAUAAUGGUGCUAUAUAUGAGUACUGUGAAGGGUGGGAAGCCCAAGAAGACUAACUGGGUGAUUCAUCAAUAUCAUCUAGGCACUGGGGAAGAUGAGCAGAAUGGGGAAUAUGUUGUCUCCAAAUUAUUUUUCCAGCAACAGAAUGGGGAAAAGAGUGCAUUAGAGUUAACCAACACUGAUGUGAUGGAAACUACAGUUGCUGUAGCAGAUCUUACUGACCUCCCUGAACCAACCGCGGAAGAAGACGAUGAACGUAUUAGUAGUAUUAGUAACCAAGAGGUUCUUCUUAAUAAUGAAUAUAAUGCUGACGAGGAAGCCCUUCAUAGCCAUGAACAUAAUACUUAUCAGGAAAAUGGAGAUUGUGAAAUAAACAUGGAAGAAAAAGCUGCUGAUGAAAAUGCCAUCUAUCCAUCCUCUGAAAAACCCGAGGAUGGAGAUAAUCCCCCAUCACAAGAUCCAAACUUGUGGGAAGGUGAUUCCCAGUUUCUGUUAGAUUCUCAGCAACUAGCAGAAAACUUGGCCAUUUGUGACGAGUUCCUGCAGAGUCAGACCUCAUGCGGCGAUGGAGAUGAGCCAGGUUUGAUCAAGCCUCGCCUGGCAGUUUAUGCCCAAUUGCCAGUAGAGGACUUGAAGAAAGAUCUGCAAGAAUGCAAGGACUUGGGCCCUUCAGACAAUGCAAUUCUUGAGCCUGAAAACAAUGCUGAACUUCGAUUGAGCCAACUCGAAUUUUCACAGGACAGCUAUACGAUGGGAAUUUUCACAGGGCAGGUGGCUGAUUGA